rnacentral:rRNA from 1 species
GUGUCAGCCGCCGCGGUAAUACCGGCAGCUCAAGUGAUGUCCCAUAUUAUUGGGCCUAAAGCGUCCGUAGCUGGCCGACCAAGUCUCCCGGGAAAUCCACCCGCCCAACGGGUGGGCGUCCGGUAGAAACUGGCCGGCUUGGAACCGGAAGGCUCAGAGAGUACGUCCGGGGUAGGAGUGAAAUCCCGUAAUCCCGGACGGACUACCGAUGGCGAAAGCACUCUGAGAAGACGGCUUCGACAGUGAGGGACGAAAGCUCGGGUCUCAAACCGGAUUAGAUACCCGAGUAGUCC